GGUUAAGCGACUAAGCGUACACGGUGGAUGCCCUGGCAGUCAGAGGCGAUGAAGGACGUGCUAAUCUGCGAUAAGCGUCGGUAAGGUGAUAUGAACCGUUAUAACCGGCGAUUUCCGAAUGGGGAAACCCAGUGUGUUUCGACACACUAUCAUUAACUGAAUCCAUAGGUUAAUGAGGCGAACCGGGGGAACUGAAACAUCUAAGUACCCCGAGGAAAAGAAAUCAACCGAGAUUCCCCCAGUAGCGGCGAGCGAACGGGGAGGAGCCCAGAGCCUGAAUCAGUGUGUGUGUUAGUGGAAGCGUCUGGAAAGGCGCGCGAUACAGGGUGACAGCCCCGUACACAAAAAUGCACAUGCUGUGAGCUCGAUGAGUAGGGCGGGACACGUGGUAUCCUGUCUGAAUAUGGGGGGACCAUCCUCCAAGGCUAAAUACUCCUGACUGACCGAUAGUGAACCAGUACCGUGAGGGAAAGGCGAAAAGAACCCCGGCGAGGGGAGUGAAAAAGAACCUGAAACCGUGUACGUACAAGCAGUGGGAGCACAGAGCAAUCUGUGUGACUGCGUACCUUUUGUAUAAUGGGUCAGCGACUUAUAUUCUGUAGCAAGGUUAACCGAAUAGGGGAGCCGAAGGGAAACCGAGUCUUAACCGGGCGUUAAGUUGCAGGGUAUAGACCCGAAACCCGGUGAUCUAGCCAUGGGCAGGUUGAAGGUUGGGUAACACUAACUGGAGGACCGAACCGACUAAUGUUGAAAAAUUAGCGGAUGACUUGUGGCUGGGGGUGAAAGGCCAAUCAAACCGGGAGAUAGCUGGUUCUCCCCGAAAGCUAUUUAGGUAGCGCCUCGUGAAUUCAUCUCCGGGGGUAGAGCACUGUUUCGGCAAGGGGGUCAUCCCGACUUACCAACCCGAUGCAAACUGCGAAUACCGGAGAAUGUUAUCACGGGAGACACACGGCGGGUGCUAACGUCCGUCGUGAAGAGGGAAACAACCCAGACCGCCAGCUAAGGUCCCAAAGUCAUGGUUAAGUGGGAAACGAUGUGGGAAGGCCCAGACAGCCAGGAUGUUGGCUUAGAAGCAGCCAUCAUUUAAAGAAAGCGUAAUAGCUCACUGGUCGAGUCGGCCUGCGCGGAAGAUGUAACGGGGCUAAACCAUGCACCGAAGCUGCGGCAGCGACACUGUGUGUUGUUGGGUAGGGGAGCGUUCUGUAAGCCUGUGAAGGUGUGCUGUGAGGCAUGCUGGAGGUAUCAGAAGUGCGAAUGCUGACAUAAGUAACGAUAAAGCGGGUGAAAAGCCCGCUCGCCGGAAGACCAAGGGUUCCUGUCCAACGUUAAUCGGGGCAGGGUGAGUCGACCCCUAAGGCGAGGCCGAAAGGCGUAGUCGAUGGGAAACAGGUUAAUAUUCCUGUACUUGGUGUUACUGCGAAGGGGGGACGGAGAAGGCUAUGUUGGCCGGGCGACGGUUGUCCCGGUUUAAGCGUGUAGGCUGGUUUUCCAGGCAAAUCCGGAAAAUCAAGGCUGAGGCGUGAUGACGAGGCACUACGGUGCUGAAGCAACAAAUGCCCUGCUUCCAGGAAAAGCCUCUAAGCAUCAGGUAACAUCAAAUCGUACCCCAAACCGACACAGGUGGUCAGGUAGAGAAUACCAAGGCGCUUGAGAGAACUCGGGUGAAGGAACUAGGCAAAAUGGUGCCGUAACUUCGGGAGAAGGCACGCUGAUAUGUAGGUGAAGUCCCUCGCGGAUGGAGCUGAAAUCAGUCGAAGAUACCAGCUGGCUGCAACUGUUUAUUAAAAACACAGCACUGUGCAAACACGAAAGUGGACGUAUACGGUGUGACGCCUGCCCGGUGCCGGAAGGUUAAUUGAUGGGGUCAGCGCAAGCGAAGCUCUUGAUCGAAGCCCCGGUAAACGGCGGCCGUAACUAUAACGGUCCUAAGGUAGCGAAAUUCCUUGUCGGGUAAGUUCCGACCUGCACGAAUGGCGUAAUGAUGGCCAGGCUGUCUCCACCCGAGACUCAGUGAAAUUGAACUCGCUGUGAAGAUGCAGUGUACCCGCGGCAAGACGGAAAGACCCCGUGAACCUUUACUAUAGCUUGACACUGAACAUUGAGCCUUGAUGUGUAGGAUAGGUGGGAGGCUUUGAAGUGUGGACGCCAGUCUGCAUGGAGCCGACCUUGAAAUACCACCCUUUAAUGUUUGAUGUUCUAACGUGGACCCGUGAUCCGGGUUGCGGACAGUGUCUGGUGGGUAGUUUGACUGGGGCGGUCUCCUCCUAAAGAGUAACGGAGGAGCACGAAGGUUGGCUAAUCCUGGUCGGACAUCAGGAGGUUAGUGCAAUGGCAUAAGCCAGCUUGACUGCGAGCGUGACGGCGCGAGCAGGUGCGAAAGCAGGUCAUAGUGAUCCGGUGGUUCUGAAUGGAAGGGCCAUCGCUCAACGGAUAAAAGGUACUCCGGGGAUAACAGGCUGAUACCGCCCAAGAGUUCAUAUCGACGGCGGUGUUUGGCACCUCGAUGUCGGCUCAUCACAUCCUGGGGCUGAAGUAGGUCCCAAGGGUAUGGCUGUUCGCCAUUUAAAGUGGUACGCGAGCUGGGUUUAGAACGUCGUGAGACAGUUCGGUCCCUAUCUGCCGUGGGCGCUGGAGAACUGAGGGGGGCUGCUCCUAGUACGAGAGGACCGGAGUGGACGCAUCACUGGUGUUCGGGUUGUCAUGCCAAUGGCACUGCCCGGUAGCUAAAUGCGGAAGAGAUAAGUGCUGAAAGCAUCUAAGCACGAAACUUGCCCCGAGAUGAGUUCUCCCUGACCCUUUAAGGGUCCUGAAGGAACGUUGAAGACGACGACGUUGAUAGGCCGGGUGUGUAAGCGCAGCGAUGCGUUGAGCUAACCGGUACUAAUGAACCGUGAGGCUUAACCUU
rnacentral:rRNA from 3 species